rnacentral:lncRNA from 1 species
CAGCGUCUUAGUAAGAGGGUGUGUGCCGCAGAGCUGGGCGGGCAACCCAGGGCUGGCAACCCCGGGGACAGUGCCACAGAUGCUCAGAGACCCGCAGCGUUUCAUGCCCAGCUUUUGGCCUUUGGCGUACCAAAGAUCAAUUUUUUAGCUUCCCUUAGAGAUGCUGAUUGCCACAUUAUACAUAAUUACACAGCAUUAAGGACAACCUCAGUGUCCAAAGGUAAGAAUCUGUUAAUUGUGGUCCCUGCAUGGAAAGAUAUCCUCGAUGUUUCAUGUCAUGAAAGGUGGUUAGAGGAAAAGCUUCUAUAGCGUGAUCUCAUUUAAUAUAAAAUACAGAAGCCACCCUGUAAAAGUCUAUGAGGCUCUAUACCUAUUAACAGUGAUUGUCCCAGAGACUGGGAUUACAGAGGAAAGCGGGUUUUACUUUCUGCUUUAUUUAUUUCCGAAUGAUAAUAAUUAGUAUUUAUUUCUCUUUGUUACAUGAUAAUCAUCUGAUUGAUUGGCAUGUAUUAUUUAUAUAAUUUUAAAAAUUAAGGUCACAUUAUAAAUAAUGAAAAGACCACCUUUGAGCCUCAUUCCUUCCACAGAGGAGGAUUUCUUUUUCGUUCUUUUUUUUUUUUUUUUUUUUUUGGUCUUUUUAGGGCCAUACCCACAGCAAAUGGAGGUUCCCAGGCUUGGGAUCAAAUCGGAGCUGCAACUGCCGGCCUACACCACAGCCACAGCAACAUGGGAUCCGAGCCGCUUCUCUGUGGUGUGGGUCGCAGAUGAGGCUUGGAUCUGGCAUUGCUGUGGCUGUGGUGUAGACCAGUGGCUACAGCUCUGAUUGGACCCCUAGCCUGGAAAGCUCCAUAUGCUGCUGGUUCUACCCUAAAAAGCAAAAUAAAAACCAAAAACCAAUGGUUAACUGUUUCCCUGAUUAGACUGUAAAUAAUGCAGAUAUUUGGGGGUGAGAGGGACAAACAAUGUAAAUAUUUUAUAGACUGUAGGCUAAAUAAUGUAUAUAUUUAGAAAAGCAGCCUAAAUAUUUCAUAUACUGCAGCAUGGAUUCCCACUUACAGGAUGGAUGGGGCUGGUGGGGCCUGUGGGGUAAGGAUGGUGGCACUGUGGCCCCCGGGGUGGAGGGGCUGACGCGUGGCAGUAAGACUAUGUUUGUGGGACUCGGGCACAGCAAGGACCAACCACUGUCAGUUACUUGCAACGCAAGUAGUUGAAAGUCUCAAAUCCAGAUUGUUCAAACCAUCUUUUAAAUAGCCUGUACUCUUUUUUUUUUUUUUUUUGGAUGUGUAAAAGAGACAGAUGACAACCUCAUGACAAGAAUUUAUGUUCAAAAAGCAGCCUGAAAUUCAGGAGAAUUGAAAACAUACAUCCACAGAAAAACUUGUACAUCCAUGUUCAUAGCAGCGCUUUUUUUGAGGGGGAUGGGUCUUUGCAUCUUUUCUAGGGCUGCACCUGCAUCAUAUGGAGGUUCCGAAGCUAGGGGUCUAAUUGGAGCUGUAUUUGCCAGCCUACGCCAUAGCACAGCAACGCCAGAUCUGAGCCAAACCUGUGACCUACACCACCACUCACGGCAAUGCUGGAUCCUUAACCCACUGAGCGAGGCCAGGGAUCGAACCCACAACCUCAUGGUUCCUAGUUGGAUUCGUUAACUACUGUGCCACGAUGGGAACUCCAUAGCAGCAUUAUUUUUAACAGCUCAAAAAUAGAAACUGGGAUCCAAAUGCCCAUCAACUGUAGGCAAAAUGUGGUAUGUUCACAUGAUGGAUUAUUAUUCAGCCAUAAAAAGAGAUAAACUUACAUACUUCAGCAUACAUGGAUGUUGAAGCCAACAUGAAAGAAGCCAGACACAAAAGGCUACCUAUUGUAUGAUUCCAUGUAUGUGAAAUGUUCAGGAUAGGCACAUCCAUAGCAACAGAGCAGAUGAGUAUUUGCCAGAAGCUGAGGCGAGGGGAAAAUGGGGAGUCUCCACUAAUGGUUAUGGAGUUUCUUUGGGGGUGUGAUCUAACAUACUGGAGUUAGUAUUGGUGAUGGUUGUACAGCUUUUUCAGGGCAUUCAAAACCAUUGAAUCGUGUUAUUUUACAAAUGUGUUUUGGAGUUCCUAUUGUGGCUCGGUAGGUUAAGAACCCAAUUAGUGUCUGUGAGGAUGCGAGUUUGAUCCCUGGUCUCACUCAGUGGGUUAAGGAUCUGGCUUAAGUCACAGAUACAGCUCAGAUCUCCUGCAGCUCCAAUUCAACCCUUAGCCUGGGAACUUCCAUAUGCCACAGGUGCGGACCUAAAAAAAAAAAAAAAAAAAAAAAAAAA